UACAGAGGGUGCGAGCGUUGUCCGGAAUCACUGGGCGUAAAGGGCGCGUAGGUGGUUGGGUAAGCGUGUGGUGAAAGCCCGGGGCUCAACCCCGGGUCGGCCAUGCGAACUGCCCGACUGGAGCACGGUAGAGGCCAAUGGAAUUCCGGGUGUAGCGGUGGAAUGCGUAGAGAUCCGGAAGAACACCGGUGGCGAAGGCGGUUGGCUGGGCCGUGGCUGACACUGAGGCGCGACAGCGUGGGGAGCAAACAGGAUUAGAUACCCUGGUAGUCCACGCCGUAAACGAUGGGCACUAGGUCCUUGGGGGAGCGACCCCGUGAGGGCCGGCGCUAACGCAUUAAGUGCCCCGCCUGGGGAGUACGGCCGCAAGGCUGAA
rnacentral:rRNA from 1 species